rnacentral:rRNA from 1 species
GCUUGUUGGUGGGGUAACGGCUCACCAAGGCCACGAUCUGUAGGGGUUCUGAGAGGAAGGUCCCCCACACUGGAACUGAGACACGGUCCAGACUCCUACGGGAGGCAGCAGUGAGGAAUAUUGGACAAUGGUCGGAAGCCUGAUCCAGCCAUGCCGCGUGAAGGAUACGGUCCUAUGGAUUUUAAAAUUUUUUUUUAUUGAAGCAAUAAGGUGCACGUGGGCAUCGAUGAGAGUACCAUCAGAAUAAGCAUUGGCUAAAUUCGUGCCAGCAGCCGCGGUAAUUCGGAGGAUGCCAGCGUUAUCCGGAUUUAUUGGGUUUAAAGGGUGGGUAGGCGGAUUAAUAAGUCAACGGUGAAAAUUACAGGCUCAACCUGUACCGUGCCCUUGAAACUGUUUAUCUUGAAUGCGGAUGCUGUGGGAGGAAAGUGUAGUGUAGCGGUGAAAAGCAUAGAUAUUACCCAGAACCCCGAUUGGGAAGGCAUCUCACAAAACCCUGAUUGACGGUGAGGCCAGAAAAGGUGGGGAUCAAACCGGAUUAGAUACCCUGGUAGUUCCAUACUGUAAACGAUGAUAACUCGCUGCCGGCGAUAUAUAGUCGGUGGCCCA